AAUUUAAAAUUUUUGAAAAUUAUUCCUUCUGAAAAUAUCAUCGCGUUCUUGACCUCGAAGCUGACUGCUGAAUGCGAUUAGGAAAGAACAUUCCUGAAGAUACACCAGACUGAUUCUGGCAAGCCGUCUGUCGUCUAGAUAUGCAGUUGUUCGUCAUGCAUGGUCAGCAAUCUUCCUCGUUCGUCCUUUCGUUUUCCUGACCACGAUGAUGACAAGCAGCUCUCAUGCUCAGGAUUCUGAAAGCUGGAGCAGCUCUGCUUACCUCGACCACUGAACUUACAACUAACUUCCAACCAAGUACAAGGCAAUAUUAUGAUGAAUCAAGCACGCUUGCCAUCAUGUCAUCAUUGCAAAGUACAUCGACAACAUAGAUUUGGUGCCGACUAUGUAUGAUGUAGAGUGUGCUCUAUGUAUCUAUACUACUGAUUGGCCUACAUUGUACUUAUGUGGGCUGAGAGUAAUCGAUUGUGCUAUAUGGCAGUUUACUUGUAUGUCAUAGAUGUUAACAUUGCACACAGCUUCUGAAAUGCUUUCUGUUGCACUGGCCUACUGCGGCCCACUGCAAAUAGAUUGUAGUGGCAUGGGCCAUGCCAUAAUUAUAGUAGUAUACCGGUACUACACCAACAAUUUCACUGGUGCACUGUACUUACUGGUACAAGUAGAUCUACAUCAUGCACAGCCUUGUCACUGCUUUUCUCAUUUUUUAUUAAUUUACUGUACUGUACACAUUUUGGCACAGCUCUUCCACAAAGAGUUACUAGUAUUUUCUUCUGCAUACCUACUGUAUACAGUGACCUGACUGGUAACAUCUAUGGCUGUGAAAUCACAAAUUUCUGGGUUGACAGCCUCGAACCUAUACGAUUUGUUUCUAAGAACGUGCUAUAAGAAAUUUUCUAUUGAAGUAUUCUACUGUAGCUCGCAGGACAUGGAGUGCAAUUACGUAAAGUUUGGAACACCA